UACGUAGGGGGCAAGCGUUGUCCGGAAUCAUUGGGCGUAAAGAGCGUGUAGGCGGCUCGGUAAGUCCGCUGUGAAAGUCCAGGGCUCAACCCUGGAAAGCCGGCCGAUACUGUCGGACUAGAGUCCGGAAGAGGCGAGUGGAAUUCCCGGUGUAGCGGUGAAAUGCGCAGAUAUCGGGAGGAACACCAAUGGCGAAGGCAGCUCGCUGGGACGGUACUGACGCUGAGGUGCGAAAGCGUGGGAGCAAACAGG
rnacentral:rRNA from 1 species